rnacentral:rRNA from 1 species
GUGAACGCUGGCGGUAGGCCUAACACAUGCCAGUCGAACGGCAGCACAGUAAGAGCUUGCUCUUACGGGUGGCGAGUGGCGGACGGGUGAGGAAUACAUCGGAAUCUACUUUUUCGUGGGGGAUAACGUAGGGAAACUUACGCUAAUACCGCAUACGACCUACGGGUGAAAGCAGGGGAUCUUCGGACCUUGCGCGAUCGAAUGAGCCGAUGUCGGAUUAGCUAGUUGGCGGGGUAAAGGCCCACCAAGGCGACGAUCCGUAGCUGGUCUGAGAGGAUGAUCAGCCACACUGGAACUGAGACACGGUCCAGACUCCUACGGGAGGCAGCAGUGGGGAAUAUUGGACAAUGGGCGCAAGCCUGAUCCAGCCAUACCGCGUGGGUGAAGAAGGCCUUCGGGUUGUAAAGCCCUUUUGUUGGGAAAGAAAAGCAGCAGGUUAAUACCCCGCUGUUCUGACGGUACCCAAAGAAUAAGCACCGGCUAACUUCGUG